rnacentral:rRNA from 1 species
CCUACUGGUGGCUGCAGUGGGGAAUAUUGGACAAUGGGGGCAACCCUGAUCCAGCCAUGCCGCGUGUGUGAAGAAGGCCCUCGGGUUGUAAAGCACUUUCAGUGAGGAAGAACGCCUGGUGGUUAAUACCCAUCAGGAAAGACAUCACUCACAGAAGAAGCACCGGCUAACUCCGUGCCAGCAGCCGCGGUAAUACGGAGGGUGCGAGCGUUAAUCGGAAUUACUGGGCGUAAAGCGCGCGUAGGUGGCUUGAUAAGCCGGUUGUGAAAGCCCCGGGCUCAACCUGGGAACGGCAUCCGGAACUGUCAAGCUAGAGUGCAGGAGAGGAAGGUAGAAUUCCCGGUGUAGCGGUGAAAUGCGUAGAGAUCGGGAGGAAUAUCAGUGGCGAAGGCGGCCUUCUGGACUGACACUGACACUGAGGUGCGAAAGCGUGGGUAGCAAACAGGAUUAGAUACCCCAGUAGUC